UCAGCGAUACCCGGGCCACGUGCCCAACUUCCUGAGCCAGACCCAGGGCUACCUGCGGAGUCCACAGGACCCCCUGCGCCGGGCAGCCGCAGUGCUUAUAGGGCUGAAUGAGGAACGCGCCACUGGGCACACAAAGAAGAGGCUGCUCUAGGAGCCGCCAAUGCUGUGACAUCACCGCUCUGGCUUUGGGCGGCAGGUUCCUGAGCCUAGGAUGCCUGCCUGGAAAUGUCCUUGCAUUCAAGGCCUCCUUCGCAGCCUCCUCCUCAGAGAAGCCUCCGCAAGUGCACAGGGAGUGUGCGCAGCCUUGUGAAGGGCUGGGACCACUUGCCCAGACCGGGGCCCCUCGGGCACAGGCGUGGGGUCCUACUGACCUGUCUCCCCAGCUCCACACGGAAAGCAUCUAAAAUACACACACAUGGAUGG
rnacentral:sRNA from 1 species